rnacentral:rRNA from 1 species
CUGGCUCAGGAUGAACGCUAGCUACAGGCUUAACACAUGCAAGUCGAGGGGUAGCAGGGUAGCAAUACCGCUGACGACCGGCGCACGGGUGAGUAACACGUAUCCAACCUUCCCAUAACUCAGGGAUAGCCUUUCGAAAGAAAGAUUAAUACCUGAUAGUACUUUUUCAAGGCAUCUUGAGAAAGUUAAAGAUUUAUUGGUUAUGGAUGGGGAUGCGUUCCAUUAGAUAGUUGGUGAGGUAACGGCUCACCAAGUCCUCGAUGGAUAGGGGUUCUGAGAGGAAGGUCCCCCACAUUGGUACUGAGACACGGACCAAACUCCUACGGGAGGCAGCAGUGAGGAAUAUUGGUCAAUGGGCGAGAGCCUGAACCAGCCAAGUAGCGUGAAGGAUGAAGGUCCUAUGGAUUGUAAACUUCUUUUAUAGUAGAAUAAAGUGAUCCACGUGUGGAUUUUUGUAUGUAUACUAUGAAUAAGGAUCGGCUAACUCCGUGCCAGCCGCUGC